CGCGUAGGCGGACCUGCAAGUCGGGGGUGAAAGCCCGAGGCUCAACCUCGGAACUGCCUUCGAUACUGCGGGUCUCGAGUCCGGGAGAGGUGAGUGGAAUUCCUAGUGUAGAGGUGAAAUUCGUAGAUAUUAGGAAGAACACCAGUGGCGAAGGCGGCUCACUGGCCCGGUACUGACGCUGAGGCGCGAAAGCGUGGGGAGGCAAAACA
rnacentral:rRNA from 1 species